UACGUAGGGGGCAAGCGUUGUCCGGAUUUAUUGGGCGUAAAGAGCGUGUAGGCGGCCAUACAGGUCAGCUGUGAAAACUCGAGGCUCAACCUCGAGACGUCGGUUGAAACCGUAUGGCUAGAGUCCGGAAGAGGAGAGUGGAAUUCCCGGUGUAGCGGUGAAAUGCGCAGAUAUCAGGAGGAACACCGAUGGCGAAGGCAGAUCUCUGGGCCGUAACUGACGCUGAGGAGCGAAAGCAUGGGGAGCGAACAGG
rnacentral:rRNA from 1 species